rnacentral:rRNA from 1 species
AUGGAGACCAUAACCACAGCUUUUUAUAAGGAGUUAUACACUACAGAAGGUACUCAUAACAUGGAACAGGUGCUAGCGACAGUUCCUCGUAAGGUAACUCCAGAUAUGAACUUAGCCUUAAAUGCACCUUAUAGUCAAGAGGAGGUCAAAAAUGCUUUAUUCCAGAUGUUUCCAACCAAGGCACCUGGCCCAGAUGGUUUUCCAGCUCACUUCUUCCAGAGACAUUGGGAAAUUUGCAAGGAUGAAGUGACAAAUGUGGUGUUGAAAAUUGUGGAAGGACACGAAUCGGCUGAGUCUAUCAAUGAGACAGUCUUGGUUCUGAUCCCGAAGGUAAAAAACCCUACGCUACUCACACAGUUUCGUCCUAUAAGCUUGUGUAAUGUUCUAUAUAAGAUUGCUUCU